GGACUUGAAGAGUGAAAUCCGGUGGGGAGCCCAGCUGAACUCGAUAGAGGCUGCGCAGCAUUUGUUACCAUUACCUUCACGGAAGGUACCCAGCCUCGUUGGUUCCCUGCUCGGUGUGUUAAGCCCUAUGAAGUACCACGCCAAUUUUGUAGCGGAGAAUCUGAAGAAGUCGUGGCGUAGUUCUGGGAAAUAAUAUGUUAUUUCCUGCAAUAAUAUGCUUUUGUGUUAUGUCUGGAGAAACAACGGACGUGGGCAAAGGGAUGUGGCCCUCUGUCUCCGAACGACCUAAUCCUUGGCACGUGCAACGAAUGAUAGAUCGCGCCUUCAAUCAACAAGCCUAUGCAGUUUUGUUAAAACAAAAAGGGGGAGAUGUUGGGGGCGAUGUGUACCAGAAGACGAUUAGGAGGAGCAACAAAGUGCCAGAAGCCCUGGGAAAGCGCGCAUAAUAUGAAGACUCGUGUCAGUGCCAAGACGGACAGGUGCCCGUGAGCCAUCAGAAUGCAGAUAUUGAAACUAGGGCAAGGACGUGAGAGAGGGAAGAUAAUCUUAGUGCAGAACGCGGCUUUUAUUAAUGUAGCAAAGCAAGUGUAAUCAGUAAACACAGCUGUAUUCUUACAUAAUAAGGGUCCGGUAUGCAAGAGAGGAUGAAAUGUGAAAUAAAUAAUCUUGCUUCACCA
rnacentral:lncRNA from 1 species